rnacentral:rRNA from 1 species
GCGUCCCCAAGUCAGGCGUGAAUACCCGCUGAUUUAA